UACGAAGGGGGCUAGCGUUGCUCGGAAUCACUGGGCGUAAAGCGCACGUAGGCGGAUUGCUAAGUCAGGGGUGAAAUCCUGGAGCUCAACUCCAGAACUGCCUUUGAUACUGAGAAGCUUGAGUCCGGGAGAGGUGAGUGGAACUGCGAGUGUAGAGGUGAAAUUCGUAGAUAUUCGCAAGAACACCAGUGACGAAGGCGGCUCACUGGCCCGGUACUGACGCUGAGGUGCGAAAGCGUGGGGAGCAAACAGG
rnacentral:rRNA from 1 species